rnacentral:lncRNA from 13 species
ACCCCGGCCGGUCAGGGGUCGUCGCGGAGGGCAGUGUAGCCGAGCUGGCACCGCAGGGCAGCAGCAGACUCCGCCCCUACUAAAGAAUUCAAGAAGACGUCCUCUUUCCGCAGCGCUUUCUUAAACAAAUUCUUGGAGAGAGCGAGAGGGGUGACCAAAGAGAGGAACCUUUCCUCCCCUUUUGCCUGUGCUCAGGCGCGCGGAGGAAUUCUAAUGUUCCAAGGAGACAAGGAUUUUGACUCUACCUCUCACGCAAGCUUAUCCUGCGGGGCAUUCCUCCUAUGGGUAUGGAGUCACCGUGAAGUGUUCCAGAGAGGCUGUCUACAGAUGUACUCAUGCCGAACAUGAAUUGGAGAAGCCCUAGCUGUGCCUGCAAUGGCUUAUAAGGCUACAAAUGAGUCAGACAUGCAAACAACUGUAAUGAAAGGAAAGGAAGCCUGUGAGCCAGGACUAUGUAAAAAGAUCCAGACAGGCAAUGCUCACAGCAUCUUCAUCAGGAGUAGAUUCCACAUCAAGAAACCACUAUCUUUAUUGAUCUCCAAGAAGCAACUCCUCACCCAUUCAAGUUUUAUGAUUCAACUCGAUCACAAUAGAAAUCAAGGCAAGUUAUUUUGUGGAUAUUGAGGAACCGAUUCUAAAGCUUGUAUGAAAAGGCUGAAGACCCAGAACAGAGCACAAUACUGAGUAAGAAAUGUUCAUGGACUGACACUAUACAACUUUAAGAUUAACUAUGUAUGAAGACAUUGUGAUACUGAUAAAAAAAAAGAGAAAUAGAUCAAUGGAGCAGAACAGAGAGCCCAGCAACAGACUCAGAAAUAUAGUGAAGUGAUCUUUGAUAAAGGAAUAAAGGCAGUUCAGUGGAGAAAUGAUAAUCUUUU